UACAGAGGGGGCAAGCGUUGUUCGGAAUUACUGGGCGUAAAGGGCGCGUAGGCGGCCUUCUAAGUCGAACGUGAAAUCCCCGGGCUCAACCCGGGAACUGCGUCCGAUACUGGAAGGCUUGAAUCCGGGAGAGGGAUGCGGAAUUCCAGGUGUAGCGGUGAAAUGCGUAGAGAUGUGGAGGAAUACCGAUGGCGAAGGCAGCCCCCUGGGCCAAUACUGACGCUCAUGCACGAAAGCGUGGGGAGCAAACAGG
rnacentral:rRNA from 1 species